rnacentral:rRNA from 1 species
ACUCCUACGGGAGGCAGCAGUAAGGAAUAUUGGACAAUGGGCGCAAGCCUGAUCCAGCCAUCCCGCGUGCAGGAUGACGGCCCUAUGGGUUGUAAACUGCUUUUAUUAGGGAAGAAACGCUUGGAUUUAUCCGAGCCUGACGGUACCUAAAGAAUAAGCACCGGCUAACUCCGUGCCAGCAGCCGCGGUAAUACGGAGGGGUGCAAGCGUUAUCCGGAAUCACUGGGGUUUAAAGGGUGCGUAGGCGGCAUCAUAAGUCAGAGGUGAAAGCCCGCAGCUAAACUGCGGAACUGCCUUUGAUACUGUGGAGCUUGAAUAAGGCUGAGGUUAGCGGAAUGUGUCAUGUAGCGGUGAAAUGCAUAGAUAUGACAUAGAACACCAAUUGCGAAGGCAGCUGACUAGACCUUUAUUGACGCUGAGGCACGAAAGCGUGGGGAGCGAACAGGAUUAGAUACCCUGGUAGACUGUCA